AUAAAAAAGGACUGCUUAGGAGGGACAUCCUUCCACUGCCUCAUCCAUGGAUCAGGGAGGCAAGCCAAGGAGCAAUCCAGUUCUGCCCAGCAAGCUACACCCCACUAACUCUGGGCCUUGUGUAUGCUAUUUAACAUUUCAUUCAAACAGGAGCUCCUGGGAAGAAGCUUGGCUCAGUCUCCUCGGCAGAUCUCUUCUCACAGUCUCUCUCAGGGCCUGGGAUAGCUCCAUUGGGUGUCUCAUCUACAUAGAAGACUUUGAGCCUGUUGAGAAGUUGAAGAACAAGUAUAUAGAGAAGAGACACCAACUCUGGAGUCUCCAGGCCUGUAGGCUCGGGCUUGAAAUAUAGAACUCAGAACUCAAACAGUAAAGUUUUGAUCAUUCUUCUGGUUUCCAUGUGUGCUCUCAAUGCACUAAAGCUGAGAUCGGCAAACUUUUUGUGUGUGUUUUUGAGAUGAUUCUCACUCUGUCACCAAGGCUAGAGGGCAG
rnacentral:lncRNA from 1 species